rnacentral:rRNA from 1 species
UUGCACAAUGGGCGCAAGCUGAUGCAGCGACGCCGCGUGGGUGAUGAAGGCUUUCGGGUCGUAAAGCCCUUUCUAGGUGACGAGAACGGACGGUAGCCUAGGAAUAAGUGUCGGCUAACUACGUGCCAGCAGCCGCGGUAAAACGUAGGACACAAGCGUUAUCCGGAGUUACUGGGCGUAAAGGGCGUGUAGGCGGACGUGUAAGUCUAUUCUGAAAGCUCCUGGCUAAACUGGGAGAGGCGAAUGGAGACUGCAUAUCUAGAGUGAGGAAGAGGAAAGUGGAAUUCCGCGUGUAGUGGUGAAAUGCGUAGAGAUGCGGAGGAACACCAGUGGCGAAAGCGACUUUCUGGUCCUUAACUGACGCUGAGGCGCGAAAGCAUGGGGAGCGAACGGGAUUAGAAACCCCGGUAGUCCAUGCCAUAAACGAUGUUCACUAAACGUUCGUUUCCCGCGAGGGAAGUGGGUGUUGAAGCUAACGCAGUAAGUGAACCGCCUGGGGAGUACGGUCGCAAGGCUAAAACUCAAAGGAAUUGACGGGGGACCGCACAAGCAGCGGAGCGUGUGGUUUAAUUCGAGGCUACACGAAGAACCUUACCUAGGUUUGACAUCGUAACGAAGUCGCCAUGAAAGUGGUGAUGUCCCGCAAGGGACGUUAUGACAGGUGCUGCAUGGCUGUCGUCAGCUCGUGCCGUGAGGUGUUGGGUUAAGUCCCGCAACGAGCGCAACCCCUGUGGGUAGUUAACUGCUCUACCCAGACUGCCGGUCGCAAACCGGAGGAAGGUGGGGAUGACGUCAAGUCAGCAUGGCCCUUACGUCUUGGGCGACACGCACGCUACAAUGGCCGGGACAGCGGGUAGCCAAGCCGCGAGGCGGAGCGAAUCCCCCAAACCCGGUCUCAGUUCGGAUCGUGGGCUGCAACCCGCCCACGUGAAGCUGGAGUCGCUAGUAACCGCGGGUCAGCACUACCGCGGUGAAUACGUUCCCGGG